rnacentral:siRNA from 1 species
AGCGGUGUACAGAUAGCGAUGUA